AAGGACAAUUCUGGACGAUCUUCUGCAUUAUUUCGUGGAUCUGAAAGAAAUACGGAACAAACGGUCAACGUCGUAAUUAUACGGACUAGCAUGAUUGAACCCCUUCGACGAGAGGAAUGAUGACUCGAUGACAAGUGAACAUUGAAGGUUACCUCUUCACCCGCUGAUCAGCGUCGCCUGACUGUCGUACGUAGGAUCCCUGCGUACAGAAAGAUUGAGGACAACGAGAGCAGAUACUGUAGUAAAAACUGAAGAUCUUUCAAAAGAAUUUCUGGUCCGUUUAACUGACUUCAAGGCUCAAUUUAAGCGAGGACCUAGUCCCAGUACUCUAGAAGCUAUCCAGGAGUUGGUAGAGCGUGAAUGAAAUCCAAUGAAUCAUCAGAUAUUACUGGCAAAAUAAUUCUCAGCCGUGGUACCUCAGAAGCAGGCUACUUAGAGAGCUUGUAGUCUGGGCUGACAGGACUCGAGCAAGACACUACCAUCUUAAUGAGUCGCUGUACAGAAUAGGCGUGGUGGAUAACCAGAAAUGCAGCUGUGAAUCGCAGAUACAGGACAUUCAUCAUGUCAUUUAUGACUGUCUAGAAUAAUCCGGUGAUGACAGAAAGAUUAUGAACGAAAAACUAUGAAAGUUUAGAUGUCCUAGACUUUGCACCAUAGUCACAUUCCUAGUGGCAAAGGAUCUUGAAUCACUUAAGAUCAUUCAACAGUUCUUUGAAAAAAAUUUCAAAUAAGAAUGUAAACUAGUUAAACAAAUCUGUAGAAACUGUAGUACUGGUCGGAUAAU